GGGGAGCGGUAAAAUGCGAUAAUCCUUCGAGGACUACCUGUUGCGAAGGCGUCCAACAAUAACGGAUCUGACUGUGAGGGACCAAAGCUAGGGGAGCGAACCGGAUUAGAUACCCGAGUAGUCCUAGCUGUAAACUCUGCGAGCUAGGUGUUGUAUCUCUCCGAGAUGAUACAGUAUCGUAGCGAAGGCGU
rnacentral:rRNA from 1 species